UCAUGCCCACAACAUAGCAUUAAUGCAUCGUAUCCCAUUAGAACUCCGCAGUUAAGCGCGCUCAUGCUAGAGUAGCACUAGGAUGGGUGACUUCCCGGGAAGUCCUAGUAUGGUUUUAU
rnacentral:rRNA from 1 species